AAGUCGUAACAAGGUUUCCGUAGGUGAACCUGCGGAAGGAUCAUUAACAAAAAACAAAUUCAAAAACCUUUUUUUAUUUUAUUUUAUUAUUUAUAUUUAAAUCAAACACCAUGUGAAUCUUUUUUGUAAUUUUUAUAUUACAAAAAAUAUUAAAUAAAACCAAAAAAAAUUAAAAAAAAUUAAAAUAAAAGAGAUUUUAUUCUCCUUCAAAUAUUCGAAAUUUAAUCAAAUGAAAAAAAUAACUCUUAACAAUGGAUAUCUCGGCUCUCGC
rnacentral:misc_RNA from 1 species